rnacentral:tRNA from 1 species
GCUUGGCUGGCUCAGUCAGUAGAGCAUAUGACUCUUGAUCUUGGGGUUGUGAGUUCGAGCCCCACGUUGGGUG